CCAGGAUCCAAACCCGUGGACCCUGGGCCAGCGAGAAGCGGAACGUGCGAACUUAACUGCUGCGCCACCGGGCCGGCCCACGGACAGUUUAAUAAGCAGACAGACAACACACUAGUGAACAGAAUCAGCAUUCCUCUAUUUUCCCAAUUUCCUGAAAUUCACAUGCUCAACCUGUGCAAUAUCCUGUCAGAGGCCAAUCUGGGAGGUGGGGUCCUGUGGUGACCCAGACAGAUGAGGCCCCUGCUUUCCUGGAACAG
rnacentral:lncRNA from 1 species